rnacentral:rRNA from 1 species
AGUGAACGCUGGCGGCAGGCCUAAUACAUGCAAGUCGAACGGCAGCACAGUGGAGCUUGCUCCAUGGUGGCGAGUGGCGGACGGGUGAGGAAUACAUGGGAAUCUGCCCAGUCGUGGGGGAUAACGUAGGGAAACUUACGCUAAUACCGCAUGCGCCCUUCGGGGAAAGCCGGGGACCGUAAGGCCUGGCGCGAUUGGAUGAGCCCAUGUCGGAUUAGCUAGUUGGCGGGGUAACGGCCCACCAAGGCGACGAUCCGUAGCUGGUCUGAGAGGAUGAUCAGCCACACUGGAACUGAGACACGGUCCAGACUCCUACGGGAGGCAGCAGUAGGGAAUAUUGGACAAUGGGCGCAAGCCUGAUCCAGCCAUGCCGCGUGAGUGAAGAAGGCCCUCGGGUUGUAAAGCUCUUUUGUCCGGAAAGAAAGCACUGGGUUAAUACCCCGGUGUCCUGACGGUACCGGAAGAAUAAGCACCGGCUAACUUCGUGCCAGCAGCCGCGGUAAU